rnacentral:lncRNA from 1 species
CCGACGGCGGCCCUCCACCCGCACACAGGAGACGCACAGCCUCCUUCCUAGCGAGGAGGCAGAGGUUCCGCUGGGACAAGUUGUCAGUCUCUCUCCAACUGUUGAUUACUCUGGACACUCACAAGGGAAAAAGCCUCUUUUCAGAGCAAUGGGGGAAGAUAGCAAGCAAUGUCAUUUUUUAAUGACUCACUCACUCUGCAGCUGCAAUGUGAGACGCUCUGGAUUUGCAGACCUGAUACACAGACCACUUGGCCAUAUUUUUGGCCCCACCUCCACUGCCUCGGUCAGAUGAAGCGUCCCUCUGCUUAAGGCCGCUGCAGUAAGACUUUGGGAGCCGC